UACGUAGGGGCCGAGCGUUGUCCGGAGUUAUUGGGCGUAAAGCGCGCGCAGGCGGCCUCGCGCGCCCGACGUGAAAGCCCCCGGCUUAACCGGGGAGGGUCGUUGGGGACGGCGGGGCUUGAGGGCGGGAGAGGUCGGUGGAAUUCCCGGUGUAGUGGUGAAAUGCGUAGAGAUCGGGAAGAACAUCGGUGGCGAAAGCGCUCUACUGGACCGCAACUGACACUCAGGGACGAAAGCUAGGGGAGCGAAUGGG
rnacentral:rRNA from 1 species